rnacentral:rRNA from 1 species
GACGAACGCUGGCGGCGUGCUUAACACAUGCAAGUCGAACGGAACGGCCCUGCUUUUGUGGGGUGCUCCAGUGGCGAACGGGUGAGUAACCCGUGAGUAACCUGCCCUUUACUUUGGGAUACCUUCAGGAAACUGGGCCUAAUACCGGAUCGGAGAUCCUGCUGCAUGGUGUUGGUUGGAAUGUUUCGGCGGUUGGGGAUGUUCCCGCGGCUAAUCAGCUUGUUGGUGGGGUAGUGGCUUAUCAAGGCUUUGACGGGUAGCCGGCCUGAGAGGGUGACCGGCUACAUAGUAAUUUAGAAACGACCAAAACUCAGACGGGAGGCAGCAGUGUGGUAUUGUGCACGAUGGGCUGAAUCCGGAAGCAGCGACUCCGCGUGCUGGAUGUCGGCCUUUGGGUGGUAAUCCGCAUGCGCCUGUGACGAAGCUUGAUGGACGGUAAUGUGUAAAGAAGCACCGGCUAACUACGUG